GGCGGCGUGCCUAACACAUGCAAGUCGAACGCGAAAGUGGAGCAAUCCAUGAGUAGAGUGGCAAACGGGUGAGUAACACGUGGGUGACCUGCCUUCGAGUGGGGGAUAACGUCCCGAAAGGGACGCUAAUACCGCAUAACAUGCUGCCUUUUAACAGGUGGACAUCAAAGCCGGGGAUCGCAAGACCUGGCGCUUGAAGAGGGGCCCGCGCCUGAUUAGCUAGUUGGUGGGGUAAUGGCUCACCAAGGCAACGAUCAGUAUCCGGCCUGAGAGGGCGGACGGACACACUGGGACUGAGACACGGCCCAGACUCCUACGGGAGGCAGCAGUGGGGAAUUGUUCGCAAUGGGCGCAAGCCUGACGACGCAACGCCGCGUGGAGGAUGAAGACCUUCGGGUCGUAAACUCCUUUCGAUCGAGACGAAUGGCCCUUGGGCUAAUACCCUGAGGGAAUGACGGUACCGAGAGAAGAAGCCCCGGCUAACUCCGUGCCAGCAGCCGCGGUAAUACGGGGGGGGCAAGCGUUGUUCGGAAUUACUGGGCGUAAAGGGCUCGUAUGCGG
rnacentral:rRNA from 1 species